rnacentral:rRNA from 1 species
AUGGCACCACCUUUGGCUCCGGAACCUCGAAAUGAGGUGGCCAAACUUUGCAAGGAGGCUAAGGAGAUUCUUCUAGAAAAGAGAUCAUCGUAUAGAAAGAUGCAGUUAUACAUUCGCUCUGGGCUUGCUGAAGCGCUGCAGACAUAUGCCUUGGAGCAUCCUCGGGAACCAAAGUAUGUGCCGAGUGUUAUCUGUGGCGUGGAGUCCGCUUCGGAAUCCUUGGGCAGGGACUGCUACCACGUUAACUUUGUGGCUGCUCCCGAAUCAGGGGCCCAUAACCAGUUUUUCUUCGCCCAAGUCAAUUGUUCGUUUCCUUAUCAGAAGACAGAACCAAAUUUCUGCUGCCCUCUACUCUUCACACACACCACUUUGCUGCUGAUCGCAUGCCGUUGCUUCUAUGGAAAGGGAUCCGCGAGGAAGCUUGUGUAUCCAGAUUCAGCAGACUAUUUUGAGUGUGAUGGUGAUAUUACUGACGGUGGAACAAUGAACACGGACGGAAUGCUAGACACAGAUUUCAUCUUCGAUUUUAGGAGAGACAUGCAGUUUGCAGAUAAUCUGAGAAUAUAUAGUGAACAACAGAAGUUACCGGAGUGUGAUGAGUAUUAA